rnacentral:rRNA from 1 species
AGAGUUUGAUCCUGGCUCAGGAUGAACGCUAGCGGCAGGCUUAAUACAUGCAAGUCGAGGGGCAGCAGGGUGUAGCAAUACAUCGCUGGCGACCGGCAAACGGGUGCGGAACACGUACGCAAUCUUCCCAAAACUGAUGAAUAGCCCUCCGAAAGGAGGAUUAAUACAUCGUAACAUAAUGAGGUGGCAUCACUUUAUUA